rnacentral:rRNA from 1 species
CGUGGGUAGCAAACAGGAUUAGAUACCCUGGUAGUCCACGCUGUAAACUAUGAUCACUCGCUGUUGGCGAUACACAGUCAGCGGCCAAGCGAAAGCAUUAAGUGAUCCACCUGGGGAGUACGCUCGCAAGCAGUGAAACUCAAAGGAAUUGACGGGGGCCCGCACAAGCGGUGGAGCAUGUGGUUUAAUUCGAUGAUACGCGAGGAACCUUACCUGGGCUUAAAUGCAGGGCGAUCGUCCCGGAAACGGGAUUUUCUUCGGACGGCCUGCAAGGUGCUGCAUGGUUGUCGUCAGCUCGUGCCGUGAGGUGUCGGGUUAAGUCCCAUAACGAGCGCAACCCCUAUUCUUAGUUGCCAGCGGUUCGGCCAGGGACUCUAAGGAAACUGCCCGCGCAAGCGGUGAGGAAGGUGGGGAUGACGUCAAAUCAUCACGGCCCUUACGUCCAGGGCUACACGCGUGCUACAAUGGUGUUGACAGAGGGCAGCUACACUGCGAAGUGAUGCUAAUCCCCAAACAACAUCUCAGUUCGGAUUGGAGUCUGCAACUCGACUCCAUGAA